rnacentral:rRNA from 2 species
AGCAGCCGCGGUAAUUCCAGCUCCAAUAGCGUAUAUUAAAGUUGUUGCAGUUAAAAAGCUCGUAGUUGAAUUUCGGGAUCAAUACGUCGGUCGUGCUUCGGUACGUACUGGCGUCAUUGAUUUCUCCCUUCUGACGAACCAUGAUGUCAUUAACUUGGUGUCAUGGGAAAUCAGGACUGUUACUUUGAAAAAAUUAGAGUGUUUAAAGCAGGCUCACGCUUGAAUACAUUAGCAUGGAAUAAUGAAAUAGGACGUUCGAUCCUAUUUUGUUGGUUUUUAGGAUCAACGUAAUGAUUAAUAGGGAUAGUUGGGGGCAUUAGUAUUCAAUUGUCAGAGGUGAAAUUCUUGGAUUUAUUGAAGACUAACUACUGCGAAAGCAUUUGCCAAGGAUGUUUUCAUUAAUCAAGAACGAAAGUUAGGGGAUCGAAGACGAUCAGAUACCGUCGUAGUCUUAACCAUAAACUAUGCCGACUAGGGAUCGGAUGAUGUUAAUUUUUUAAUGACUCAUUCGGCGCCUUACG